rnacentral:rRNA from 2 species
AACGAACGCUGGCGGCAGGCUUAACACAUGCAAGUCGAGCGCCCCGCAAGGGGAGCGGCAGACGGGUGAGUAACGCGUGGGAAUCUACCUUUUGCUACGGAAUAACGCAGGGAAACUUGUGCUAAUACCGUAUGUGACCUUCGGGAGAAAGAUUUAUCGGCAAGAGAUGAGCCCGCGUUGGAUUAGCUAGUUGGUGGGGUAAAGGCCUACCGAGGCGACGAUCCAUAGCUGGUCUGAGAGGAUGAUCAGCCACAUUGGGACUGAGACGCGGCCCAAACUCCUACGGGAGGCAGCAGUGGGGAAUAUUGGACAAUGGGCGCAAGCCUGAUCCAGCCAUGCCGCGUGAGUGAUGAAGGCCCUAGGGUUGUAAGCUCUUUCACCGGAGAAGAUAAUGACGGUAUCCGGAGAAGAAGCCCCGGCUAACUUCGUGCCAGCAGCCGCGGUAA